rnacentral:rRNA from 7 species
GAAGACGACGACGUUGAUAGGCCGGGUGUGUAAGCGCAGCGAUGCGUUGAGCUAACCGGUACUAAUGAACCGUGAGGCUUAACCUU